rnacentral:rRNA from 1 species
UAAGGAAUAUUGGUCAAUGGACGCAAGUCUGAACCAGCCAUGCCGCGUGGAGGAUGAAGGUCCUCUGGAUUGUAAACUUCUUUUAUCUGGGACGAAACACUUCUUUUCUAAGAGGCCUGACGGUACCAGAUGAAUAAGCACCGGCUAACUCCGUGCCAGCAGCCGCGGUAAUACGGAGGGUGCAAGCGUUAUCCGGAUUCACUGGGUUUAAAGGGUGCGUAGGUGGGUAUGUAAGUCAGUGGUGAAAUCCCCGAGCUUAACUUGGGAACUGCCAUUGAUACUAUAUAUCUUGAAUACCGUAGAGGUAAGCGGAAUAUGUCAUGUAGCGGUGAAAUGCUUAGAUAUGACAUGGAACACCAAUUGCGAAGGCAGCUUGCUAUGUGGUGAUUGACACUGAGGCACGAAAGCGUGG